rnacentral:rRNA from 1 species
AAGUUGAUCAUGGCUCAGAGUGAACGCUGGCGGUAGGCCUAACACAUGCAAGUCGAACGGCAGCACGAGAGAGCUUGCUCUUUUGGUGGCGAGUGGCGGACGGGUGAGGAAUACAUCGGAAUCUACCUUGUCGUGGGGGAUAACGUAGGGAAACUUACGCUAAUACCGCAUACGACCUACGGGUGAAAGCGGAGGACCUUCGGGCUUCGCGCGACUAGAUGAGCCGAUGUCGGAUUAGCUUGUUGGCGGGGUAAAAGCCCACCAAGGCGACGAUCCGUAGCUGGUCUGAGAGGAUGAUCAGCCACACUGGAACUGAGACACGGUCCAGACUCCUACGGGAGGCAGCAGUGGGGAAUAUUGGACAAUGGGCGCAAGCCUGAUCCAGCCAUACCGCGUGGGUGAAGAAGGCCUUCGGGUUGUAAAGCCCUUUUGUUGGGGAAGAAAAGCAGCUGGCUAAUACCCGGCUGUCCUGACGGUACCCAAAGAAUAAGCACCGGCUAACUUCGUGCCAGCAGCCGCGGUAAUACGAAGGGUGCAAGCGUUACUCGGAAUUACUGGGCGUAAAGCGUGCGUAGGUGGUUUGUUAAGUCUGAUGUGAAAGCCCUGGGCUCAACCUGGGAAUUGCACUGGAUACUGGCAGGCUAGAGUGCGGAGAGGAUGGCGGAAUUCCCGGUGUAGCAGUGAAAUGCGUAGAGAUCGGGAGGAACAUCCGUGGCGAAAGCGGCAUCUGGACCAGACUUGGACACUUGAGGGCACGAAAGCUUGGGGGAGCAAACAGGAUUACGAAUUACCCUUGGUAGUCCACGCCUAAACGAAUAGCCGAA